AUUCCCUUAGUAGCGGCGAGCGAAACGGGAAGAGCCCAAACCAACAAGCUUGCUUGUUGGGGUUGUAGGACACUCUAUACGGAGUUACAAAGGACGACAUUAGACGAAUCAUCUGGAAAGAUGAAUCAAAGAAGGUAAUAAUCCUGUAGUCGAAAAUGUUGUCUCUCUUGAGUGGAUCCUGAGUACGACGGAGCACGUGAAAUUCCGUCGGAAUCUGGGAGGACCAUCUCCUAAGGCUAAAUACUCUCUAGUGACCGAUAGUGAACCAGUACCGUGAGGGAAAGGUGAAAAGCACCCCGGAAGGGGAGUGAAAUAGAACCUGAAACCGUGUGCUUACAAGUAGUCAGAGCCCGUUAAUGGGUGAUGGCGUGCCUUUUGUAGAAUGAACCGGCGAGUUACGAUUUGAUGCAAGGUUAAGCAGUAAAUGUGGAGCCGUAGCGAAAGCGAGUCUGAAUAGGGCGUUUAGUAUUUGGUCGUAGACCCGAAACCAGGUGAUCUACCCUUGGUCAGGUUGAAGUUCAGGUAACACUGAAUGGAGGACCGAACCGACUUACGUUGAAAAGUGAGCGGAUGAACUGAGGGUAGCGGAGAAAUUCCAAUCGAACCUGGAGAUAGCUGGUUCUCUCCGAAAUAGCUUUAGGGCUAGCCUCAAGUGAUGAUUAUUGGAGGUAGAGCACUGUUUGGACGAGGGGCCCCUCUCGGGUUACCGAAUUC
rnacentral:rRNA from 1 species